rnacentral:rRNA from 1 species
GCGGGACACGUGGUAUCCUGUCUGAAUAUGGGGGGACCAUCCUCCAAGGCUAAAUACUCCUGACUGACCGAUAGUGAACCAGUACCGUGAGGGAAAGGCGAAAAGAACCCCGGCGAGGGGAGUGAAAAAGAACCUGAAACCGUGUACGUACAAGCAGUGGGAGCCUCUUAAUGGGGUGACUGCGUACCUUUUGUAUAAUGGGUCAGCGACUUAUAUUCUGUAGCAAGGUUAACCGAAUAGGGGAGCCGAAGGGAAACCGAGUCUUAACUGGGCGUUAAGUUGCAGGGUAUAGACCCGAAACCCGGUGAUCUAGCCAUGGGCAGGUUGAAGGUUGGGUAACACUAACUGGAGGACCGAACCGACUAAUGUUGAAAAAUUAGCGGAUGACUUGUGGCUGGGGGUGAAAGGCCAAUCAAACCGGGAGAUAGCUGGUUCUCCCCGAAAGCUAUUUAGGUAGCGCCUCGUGAAUUCAUCUCCGGGGGUAGAGCACUGUUUCGGCAAGGGGGUCAUCCCGACUUACCAACCCGAUGCAAACUGCGAAUACCGGAGAAUGUUAUCACGGGAGACACACGGCGGGUGCUAACGUCCGUCGUGAAGAGGGAAACAACCCAGACCGCCAGCUAAGGUCCCAAAGUCAUGGUUAAGUGGGAAACGAUGUGGGAAGGCCCAGACAGCCAGGAUGUUGGCUUAGAAGCAGCCAUCAUUUAAAGAAAGCGUAAUAGCUCACUGGUCGAGUCGGCCUGCGCGGAAGAUGUAACGGGGCUAAACCAUGCACCGAAGCUGCGGCAGCGACACUAUGUGUUGUUGGGUAGGGGAGCGUUCUGUAAGCCUGUGAAGGUGGCCUGUGAGGGUUGCUGGAGGUAUCAGAAGUGCGAAUGCUGACAUAAGUAACGAUAAAGCGGGUGAAAAGCCCGCUCGCCGGAAGACCAAGGGUUCCUGUCCAACGUUAAUCGGGGCAGGGUGAGUCGACCCCUAAGGCGAGGCCGAAAGGCGUAGUCGAUGGGAAACAGGUUAAUAUUCCUGUACUUGGUGUUACUGCGAAGGGGGGACGGAGAAGGCUAUGUUGGCCGGGCGACGGUUGUCCCGGUUUAAGCGUGUAGGCUGGUUUUCCAGGCAAAUCCGGAAAACCAAGGCUGAGGCGUGAUGACGAAGCACUA